ensembl:rRNA 5S_rRNA 5S ribosomal RNA
GUCUACGGCCAUACCACCCUGAACCCGCCCGAUCUCGUCUGAUCUCGGAAGCUAAGCAGGGUCGGGCCUGGUUAGUACUUGGAUGGGAGACACUGAAUGGUGAUUUAACAUUAGAGUUGUUGUGC